rnacentral:rRNA from 1 species
UACGUAGGGUGCGAGCGUUAAUCGGAAUUACUGGGCGUAAAGAGCGCGCAGGCGGUCGUGCAAGUCGCGUGUGAAAGCCCCCGGCUCAACUGGGGAGGGUCACGCGAUACUGCUCGACUCGAAGGCAGGAGAGGGAAGUGGAAUUCCCGGUGUAGUGGUGAAAUGCGUAGAUAUCGGGAGGAACACCAGUGGCGAAGGCGGACUU